GUCAGGAUGCAUGCGACAUUUUUGGGAAAUGAUGGUCUUGGAUAAUGAUGACAAGCCUAGGUGGGCUAGGCAAUAAUGAUAAGAAGACUUUUAAUUGGAUAGGUUUUUAUGAGGUUUAGAAAAUCAGGAAAGUCUAUCUAAAGGAUAUGCUUUGGUCUCUGAGGGUUAAUUUCGGUUCCGCGAAGUAUGAAUUGCAGUGGGAGUCUACAAGUUAUCAGGCCGUGCCAAGGAAAUAUGGAUGCUAUAAAUACAGAGUUGCAAGCAACAUUCAAGCCCCUUUAAUUAAACACACAACUGCCCUGAGCAAAUUCUCUCAACAACCUUGAGAAUUUUUCUUUUCUCUUUUCGCCGACACACCUACAUUUUGGAUAAACAGUACUGUGAAGGCAACCGGUGAUAUCUUCAGUUGGCAUAAAUAGCACUGUUGCCGUAGAAUCAGCCGAUCUUGUAGCAUCUUUAGUUGGCAUAAACAACACUGCGUCGAGAGGGACUAGUUGUCUAUCCAAGUCUCCGUCGAGAAGGAUUUUCGAAUCCUUAUUGAUUGAGGUCAUCUCAUCACCCUUCUCAACGAAGUAAGGUGUUACAGCUUAUUGGGCUCGGCACAUUGCACGUCGAGUUAUUUUAUGAUUGGAUACUCUCAAGUUGGAUUUAGAGUUCGGCAUUUCAAUGGUCGAACCACGUUUACUGUUAAGACUUAUAUCCGCUUUGAGUAUUUGUGUCCUUACACUUGGUGUCGAUUCGGCGUGAGUUUACUCUGACGAAUACCAUCACUGUGACUGAAUCUGACGACGACGAUUUGUGAACUUCGUAAGAAUAAUAGCCUUGUCUUCAGGUUCGAGAGCCGAGACGGUUCCUUCGUCGGUCGCAAUCGCAAGACGAAGUCAGCUGCACGCUCAACAUAACGUCAACACAUUUACUCAUCAGCCGAGCUCGGUCGUCGAGUUGGCAUGCCCCGCAUUCAAUCGAAUGACGUAGUUAGCUCAUAGAUUACUCGACAUACACGCCACGUAGGCUUGGUAGUUUUUAGGGUCAACAUUUUGGCACACCUAGUGGGACCCAGUGCUAGAACUACGAAGUUCAUAUGAUAUAUCAAGAUGUCAAUCUGGCUUCAUGUAGCCGAUUGUACGAGCUCCUAGAGGAAUUAAAAAAACACAAUGAGGAAUGUAAAAGAUCUUUGAAAGUGGAAAAAGUUCUUCGUGGCCAUAGAAAGAUGCAAAAACCAUUUGCUUACAUGUUGAGAAUAAAAGCUCUUGUUCCCCUGCAAGAGCAAUGGGUAAAUGAGGACAGGGCUCGAUUUAAUGUCUGGCUAGAUAAAGAACGUUUUCCUUACAUUUCUUACUACAGAUCAAUUCCAUUUGAAAAAUGGUUAAGUCCUAAGGUCGGGGGGCAAUUUUUUGUUUCGGCCACAAUCAAAAUUCGACCUCAGGAAAUUUCCAAGACGGCCGAAGAAACACAUAGGCCACAUGUUGUCUCGGUCAAGACUGAAAGUGUGGUAGGCCUAGAAGAAAAAGUUCAAAUUUCUGAGUCACAAAUUAACUUGGAAAAUGAUUCGUCAGAUGAGUGUUCCAAUGACGAACAAGACUGAUACACGGCUUCAGACCGUAAAACCACAUCAAUUGAUAUGGUAAUUGGAGACAUGGUCUUAGACACCGAAAUUACGCCAAUUGACAUGAUUAUUGGUGAUAAAGCUGAUAUGGGGAAAUCUCGUUCGGCUAAGUUGUUCGAGUUAAAAGCCGAAAUCGGUGAAAUUAUUAUGCCCGGGGGGCAUACUAAUUGUUCAACACAUUUGGUGGCCGAUGUUAAAAAAUCUUUUGUCAAGCCGAGCAUAUUUGGAGAUGAUUUUUUAUUCGGCUCAAUGCAAAAUUUGAUUGGCUAUGUUGAUAUACAAAGAUCUCAGCUUGGAAUAAAACAUCGUUGGCCUCCUCCUCUUUAUUACUUCGGCCACUUGUGUUUUCUUUUAUUAAGAAAAUGAAUAAAUUAUUUUCUUAAUCAUUUGGCUAAUUAAGCCGAUACUUAAGAAAAUAAAGGGGGCAACAAGAUGGUGCAGACUUAGGAAAACAAGAUGGUGUGGACUUAAAAAAAAAAAAAAAAAAAAAAAACCGAAAGGAAUAAAUUAUUUUUCUCAACCAUUCGGCUUUAUGGGCCGAUACUUGAAAAAUAAAGGGGGCAACAAGAUGGUGUACUUGGUAGACAAUUUUGGUCAAAUAAUGGUGUACUCGGCAGACAAUUUUGGUCGAAUGAAUUUAUGGGAGCAUGCAUGGUUGCAAAGCUUGUAUAUAGAUAUGUCAGAAUGACCCAUCAACAACAUCCCAUCACAUGAAACAAAAAGAGAGACACAUACGAAAAAGACAAAGGAAAGUUCAUGAAAUUAUGGUAGGCUUCCACGUGGGCUAGCCUUUUCGUUUGGUGAUGUAGUGAUCUGUGAAUUCCUAAUAGCAUUAUUUGGCCGAAUACAAUUCUUUGGCCAAAUAAAAGAAAGUUCGGCCGAAUACAAUGGGUUAUAUAUAUAUAGGCUCUACACCCAAUUCUUCUCGGCCUCGGCCUUGGCCGCACCAUAUGUCGAGCUCGAUAGUUAGUUCGAAGGUAUCUAAUGGUUUUUAAGACGACUGAAUGAGGUGGCGUGGUUUUAUUUGUAUGACGAGCUAGUUUGAUUUGGUGAAACUGCUGGUGUUUGGCCAAACACCAUCUCAAGUCGGUGGAAUGGAGCCGGCCGAGGUGCCAUUUAGCGUUCGGCGGAAGUAUGGGCGUUUUAAGUAUUCUAUUCGGAAGAAUUAUGAAGUGUUGUGAUGCUUAGUUUCUUUAACCAUUCGGCUUACGAGCCGAAGCUCAAGGAAACUGGGGGGCAAUGUUUGGACCCAAUUUUACAUCAUCGGUUCGAGUAAUCAAGGUUGUUGAGUAGGCAUACUUCUACACCGUCGAUAAAAAAAUGAAGAUAUUUUUGUUAUUGUUAAAGGAUAAUAUUAUGGUUUUUGCCAUAGUAAUUAUCUUUUAAUUAUCCGAUCAUUAUAUCUUCAAACAUGGACAGUUCGAGUAAACUUGGGAUUCCUGCUAUCAAAUUGGAGAAGCAUGGUGGAUAAGGUUUGAAAGGUCAAGGUGCAUGAAUGGGAUGAAAUUAUGAGGGGAUUAAUGCAAGCAAUGGGAUACCAAGAUACGGAAUGCAUCCAGAUGGGUUUUUGAGUAAAACACAAUUAAAAAUUAAUUUAAUACUCAUGGGGUCAGGAUGCAUGCGACAUUUUUGGGAAAUGAUGGUCUUGGAUAAUGAUGACAAGCCUAGGUGGGCUAGGCAAUGAUGAUAAGAAGACUUUUAUUUGGAUAGGUUUUUAUGAGGUUUAGAAAAUCACGAAAGUCUAUCUGAAGGAUAUGCUUUGGUAUCUGAAGAUUAAUUUCGGUUUCGCGAAGUAUGAAUUGUAGUGGGACUCUACAAGUUAUCAGGCCGUGCCAAGGAAAUAUGGAUGCUAUAAAUACAGAGUCGCAAGCAACAUUCAAGCCCCUUUAAUUAAACACACAACUGCCCUGCGCAAAUUCUCUCAACAACCUUGAGAUUUUUUCUUUUCUCUUUUCGCCGACACACCUACAUUUUGGAUAAACAGUACUGUGAAGGCAACCAGUGAUAUCUUCAGUUGGCAUAAACAACACUGUCGCCGUAGAAUCAGCCGAUCUCGUAGCAUCUUUAGUUGGCAUAAACAGCAUUGCAUCGAGGGCGAAUGGUUGUCUAUCCAGGUCUCGGUCGAGAAGGAUUUUCGAAUCCUUAUUGGUCGAGGUCAUCUCAUCACCCUUCUCGGCGAAGUGAGGUGUUACAACUCAUUGGGCUUGGCACAUUGCACGCCGAGUUAUUUUAUGAUUGGAUAUUCUUAAGUUGGAUUCAGAGUUCGGCAUUUCGACGGCCGAACCACGUUUACUGUUAAGACUUAUAUCCGCUUUGAGUAUUUGUGCCUUUACACUUUGGUGUCAAUUCGGCGUGAGUUUACUCUGACGAAUACCAUCACUGUGACUGAAUCCGACGACGACGAUUUGUGAACUUUGUAAGAAUAGUAGCCUUGUCUUCAGAUUCGAGAACCCAAGAGGCCGAGACGUGUUCCUUCCUCGGUCGCAAUCGCAAGAUGAAGUCAGCCGCACGCUCAACGUAACGUCAACACAUUUACUCAUCGGCCGAGCUCGGCCGUCGAGUUGGCACGCCCCGCAUUCAACUGAAGGAUGUAGUUAGCUCAUAGAUUACUCGGCCUGCGUGCCACGUAGACUUGGUAGUUUUUAGGGUCAACACAUGUUUACGUACAAUGAGUAAGAAUUAGAAUCUAUUUGAUUGUAAAAUUAAAAUCUAUUUGACUGUUGACUUCUAACUUAAUUGGUUAAGAAUAUUUGCCCUUGCAUCCAAGGUUCCAUGAUCGAACUCCUCUAUAAAUUAACUUAUAGUUUGUAAAAAAAAGAAGGUAAAUUACAUAAUAGCCCCUCAUGUUUGAGGUCUAUUACAACUCCAUAC
rnacentral:lncRNA from 1 species